GGGGAGGCGAGGCGGACGCCCGGGGCUGCCCCUCAGGCCGGCCCCGCCGCCUCCGGCUCCACAGCGCCGCCUCGUCCGCGCUGCUGUAGGCGCUGCCCGCCGCUCGCUUCACAAAAUGGCCGCCCGGCGGGGCCGCGGCGAGAGGCGCCGAGGCGACAAAAUGGCGCCGGGUGGGCAGCGCGGGGAAAGACGGACGAUGCGCGGCUGUGGGGGCCGGGGCGGCGAGCGUGGGCUUCAGCCGUGCCAGGAGCACGGCGGAGGGGCUCCUCCUCGAUGGGUUGAAGCCACCACCUCCCGCUCUCCUCACGGCGUGGAAAAUACCCAAACGCGCUUAAAAAAAGAUUUCCACAAAAACCAACCCCGAAACAGCUGAGGAUUGAUUUAUCUACUAAGCCGGAGCGGCACAGGGAAGAAGCCGUCGCUGCUCGCCUUGCUCCCCACGACAACCUGCCCGCCAUUCGGUUAAUUAAAAGCAUACUUGGUGUGAUCAGACGUGGUAAUACCAUAAAAAAAAAAAAAAAAGGUGUAUAUAUAUACACCCCAUAACAUCCAAACGCUCAUUGUUGGACUCUGCAGCCAAGGUUGAAGCUUCCUCAUGAUUGUGUGUGUUUUGAAUUGCGUUUUAAAAUUGCCCAGCUGGAGACAAGUCUUGAUUAGAGCUGGAACAAUAGCUCCAUUUUAUUAAUAAUGGGAAGGAUUUACAAUCCUACAGCACCUUCCUUGGAAGGCUUUCAAAAUCAUUUGCAAACACUCACAAAUGUAAGAUUCCACAGCCCUUGGCUGUGAGGUGGGUAAGUAUUUUAAUAGUGCCACCACUAAAAAUCAUGUAGGUGGCAAAUCUCCAUUUCUGAGUGCUUAAAAAAAUGCGAAAUUUGUUGGGUUUUAGGGCUACAAAGCUGGGAGUAGGGGAGGUUGGUAAGUGGGGCUAGCUAAAAGCUGUAACCUAAAUCUGUUCCGUGUUCUCUGUAGAUGCAGAGUAUUUUGCUGCGUCCUGGGAACCGGGCUGUUCCUUUUCCUCCUGCUCCGUGCAGACGGCCAUGCAGCUUGCCAGAGUGAAGCUGUGGACUUGCUUGCUUGGAAAUACAAGAUUGUUUGCAUAACCCCUCUCCACAGCAGAUACCUUCUUUUGGCGGUACCUCUGCAUUGGCAGGUGUGGAAGUGUGGAGACCCUAACAACAGUGAGCAAGGACAGAUGAGCUGUCUUCUGGGGUCAAUUCCAACUCCACAGAAGGAACCCUGCUUGCUCCUGUGAGAUGCUGCUGCUUUAUUACUUGAUUCCUCAAAGUCAUGCUUGCUCACUGAGGAGGAGGAAAAUGCUUCCUUACUGGGUGCAAUUUCUUUUGUUGUGUUGCAAAAGGGAUAUGUGGGUUUGGAGAUACACCUCAUGCUCAUCAGAGGCCUUUGCUGGCGUGGAGGUACAGCAAACCAAGGAGCUGGCUGUUUGGGAUGUUUCCACAUUUUUCAGGUUGGCGCACCCUGUGGGACUGGAAUUACUUCUCCUUGGCAGUUUAGGACAAAUGACCUGGAAGAUCAAAGUCCUGCGUCUAGCUGCUGAAGUGCCCUGUGUUUGGGAAAAACCUUUGUGAGGUGAGCAGGCACAGCUCUUUGGUAUGUGGUUGCAUGGAAGUUCAGGGGCAAGGGGAAGCAGGGCAGAAGUGAUGCCCCUGAACACAGUGAAACUGUGACGUUUCUAAUUUUUCCUGACAACAGGCAAAAAAAAAAAGAUAUUAAUUCUAAUAUAUCUACUACCCAGUGAGCAAAAGUAGGUUCUUUCGCAGUCCUGUGACAGGAUUUUUUGACAGCGCGGCUCAGCCAUGGCACUGUACUCUGCUGCUGAAGAAACGUCUGUUGUUGUAUAGCCAGGUAUUUUAAAAACAGAAGUGUGCUUUUAUAUAUAUACAAAUGGGUUCAGUGUAAACUGAAUUCCAGGGGGCUCCUGAGCUGUGUUUACUGUGCUGCAGAAGCUAACCCACUGGCUACAGUGGUGGUAUUUUGUGGCAGCUCCCAUCCCUGGUACUGUGUGGAUAAGAAGUCUAGCGGGGAAAGAGCGUUAGAAAAUAAAUUACUAAAUACUGGGUUUCAAAAACGUGAAGGGAGGUUUCUGAACAGAGUCAUCUCAUUAUGAAGAUCUGGAGCACUAACCCUCAAAGAGGAAAGAACCGAAAUCAACAGCUUUAUUAAUACAAAUCCUAUACUUUGUGUUGCUUAAGGAUCCAGAACCAGGCGCUUCAUGUUCAAAGCGUUACCCGCGUGUAAGCUGAUAUCCUCUGUCUUGGCAACAGAUGAGCCCAAAUAUCAAGCAGCACCAAUUCCUUCUUGGAGGAAAUUAUCCAUUGCAUAAAACAUAAUGGUCCUGGCGACACGUGGCAGCGAGCUCCACCACUUGGGUAAGACGCCGUGUUAAAAAUGUGCAAACUUGCCUUUUCAGGUGUUGUCUGCUCCCUUCUUUGUAUUGAUGUUUCCUCCUUGAAGUGAGGCUGUCUCUGGCUGUGUGGACCCCAAGGAUGUUUUCUGUUUCUCCUGGCCCCCCUCCCUUUUUUUUUUCCUCCAAACUGGAGAGCGGCUAACUUUAUUAGCUCCUUAUAUGGCAGCACCAUUUUCUCACGCCUUUAAUGGCUUUCUUUUGAUCUGUCCUGUUUUUGCUUUGCUUGAUGUGAACGCAGUGUUCAAGCUGAGAUGGGUUUAUAACCUGCUCCCUCAUUAAUAUAUGCCCUGGCAUUUUAAUCCUCUCCAAGUGCCGAUAAGAAACAUCCAAAUGUUUUAACUACGGGGUUGGCAGAGAUGUCCGGAGAUUGCUGGGUUCUCGGCUACGCCCACUGCACGGGCAUGAGUAAUUUAAAUUGCACCUUGUGGUGCACCAGACCCUGCCCUUGCGUGUCCCAAAGGUGAUGGUGAGCAGCUGAAGUCCCCCCUGCCUUGGCUGGCUGCCCGCCUGGGAAGGGUAGUGUGCAGGGAUGCGUGUCCAUGUCUCACCCCUGGAUGCUCACCGUGCUGUCACUAGUGGCGGGACAGUGGGCUGGUGCGAACACGCGUCUCUUCUCCAGCAGCAAGGACAGCGUUGGUUGCUGCCAUGUAAGACCAGUCCUUCGUCGAGGCCCCUUUGGCCUGCGGAGAGGAAGGUUACACUUGCUCUGGUCUCUAGGCUGGGUAUGUGUUCUUUAAAAUCUUCGAAUGAGUUGGAGGGAUCCGGUUACAGCGGCGUUGCCAGUGCGGUCGCGUGUUGCAACUGGGAACAGUUUCCCCCCAAAGUGGUUGAAAAGUAUUGGGAUGGUCCAGAGCUUUGUUUGCCGUCACCAGCCGGGCUUGCGCUCCUCUCCCAGCUGGCUUUCGUGUGAAGGGAGCUCUUUAAGCGCUCGUUUCAACUGUCGCUUCUGUCAACAGAGUCGAUUCUAUGAUUCUAGGAUGGCUUUGUUUGCGACAGCUUCCAACCCGUGGAUGUCCCUCCCGGCUAGCCUGCUUGCAAGAUGGCUGUGUGACAGCAGCGACCCUGCGUGAGGUUUCUUUGAAGGACCUGAGAGCCGCCACGGGUUUCUUGUGGCCCUUGGAGGUGCCACCCAAGCAGGGAGUGAGGGGACAAACAGUUGGAAAUGCUGUUGCAGCAAGCACACUUGGUCGGAGAGGGAAGAAUUCCGCCUCAAAAACCUGUUAGAUGCGUGGUUUGCAUUUCUUCCUCUCUAAAAUAGUUGCCUGUAGAGCCCAUUAAAGGUAUGGACAUGUAGCGACUGUCUUUGCGCUUCCGAGCAGUUAAACCAGAAAGCUAAGCCCAUUUCCACGGAGAUGAAACGUGCGGUGGAAAGUGCUGGUGGAGCGCCUUGGCAGUGCAUUUUCUCGUGCACUUGUGGCUCCAUCACGUUUUAAAUAAUAGAUGGUUUGCUUGCAAA